GCCCUUCGGGGUGGAUUAGUGGCGAACGGGUGAGUAACACGUGGGCAAUCUGCCCUGCACUCUGGGACAAGCCCUGGAAACGGGGUCUAAUACCGGAUAUGACCGUCCAUCGCAUGGUGGAUGGUGUAAAGCUCCGGCGGUGCAGGAUGAGCCCGCGGCCUAUCAGCUAGUUGGUGAGGUAGUGGCUCACCAAGGCGACGACGGGUAGCCGGCCUGAGAGGGCGACCGGCCACACUGGGACUGAGACACGGCCCAGACUCCUACGGGAGGCAGCAGUGGGGAAUAUUGCACAAUGGGCGAAAGCCUGAUGCAGCGACGCCGCGUGAGGGAUGACGGCCUUCGGGUUGUAAACCUCUUUCAGCAGGGAAGAAGCGAAAGUGACGGUACCUGCAGAAGAAGCGCCGGCUAACUACGUGCCAGCAGCCGCGGUAAUACGUAGGGCGCAAGCGUUGUCCGGAAUUAUUGGGCGUAAAGAGCUCGUAGGCGGCUUGUCACGUCGGUUGUGAAAGCCCGGGGCUUAACCCCGGGUCUGCAGUCGAUACGGGCAGGCUAGAGUUCGGUAGGGGAGAUCGGAAUUCCUGGUGUAGCGGUGAAAUGCGCAGAUAUCAGGAGGAACACCGGUGGCGAAGGCGGAUCUCUGGGCCGAUACUGACGCUGAGGAGCGAAAGCGUGGGGAGCGAACAGGAUUAGAUACCCUGGUAGUCCACGCCGUAAACGGUGGGCACUAGGUGUGGGCAACAUUCCACGUUGUCCGUGCCGCAGCUAACGCAUUAAGUGCCCCGCCUGGGGAGUACGGCCGCAAGGCUAAAACUCAAAGGAAUUGACGGGGG
rnacentral:rRNA from 1 species